rnacentral:rRNA from 1 species
GAUGAACGCUGGCGGCGUGCCUAAUACAUGCAAGUCGAGCGAACGGACGAGAAGCUUGCUUCUCUGAUGUUAGCGGCGGACGGGUGAGUAACACGUGGAUAACCUACCUAUAAGACUGGGAUAACUUCGGGAAACCGGAGCUAAUACCGGAUAAUAUUUUGAACCGCAUGGUUCAAAAGUGAAAGACGGUCUUUCUGUCACUUAUAGAUGGAUCCGAGCUGCAUUAGCUAGUUGGUAAGGUAACGGCUUACCAAGGCAACGAUGCAUAGCCGACCUGGAAGGGUGAUCGGCCACACUGGAACGGAGACACGGUCCAGGCUCCUACGGGAGGCAGCAGUAGGGAAUCGGCCGCAGAGGGCGAAAGCCUGACGGAGCAACGCCGCGUGAGUGAUGAAGGUCUUCGGAGCGUAAAACUCUGUUAUGAGGGAAAAACAUAUGUGUAAGGAACUGUGCACAUCUUGACGGUACCUAAUCAGAAAGCCACGGCUAACUACGUG